UGUAUUAAAGAAUUAAAUGGAUGAAAUAUGAAGUUUUAUUAAAAGAAAAAGGGGUGAAAAGAACAAAGUUUUGUCCAUCUUUGUUCAUCAUAGCUGAAAGUUAGAGAAGAGAAAGGAGAGGAGAAAGCUCUUGAGUAUUCGGUCAUUAGGAAGAGGAAAAUUGAAGGAAUCCCCAACCAUAGUGGGCUUGGACCUGUGAGGGAAUUCGGAGUGGCCACCCGUUCUGAAAGUUUGAUUUUCUUCUGGUGAACUGGACAUCCUUUUAAUUACGUUUGAGGUUUUGGGCUUUUAAAUGUAAUAAGGCCGCUUAUUUAUUUUUGAUGGUUUUUAAUAUGUAUUACUAAGAUAGGUAAUACUUAUUUUAA